rnacentral:rRNA from 1 species
CCCUUAGAUGUUCUGGGCUGCACGCGCGCUACACUGAUGCGAUCAACAAGUUUUUCCUAUGUCGAUAGACACGGGUAAUCUUUUGAACUCGCAUCGUGAUGGGGAUAGAUUAUUGUAAUUAUUAAUCUUCAACGAGGAAUUCCUAGUAGGUGCAAAUCAUCAGUUUGCAUCGAUUACGUCCCUGCCCUUUGUACACACCGCCCGUCGCUGCUACCGAUUGGUUGAUCUGGUGAAUUAUUUGGACUGCCGGCUGAAGGGGUUUCCUCAUCUGCCAGCGGAAAGUCUUGUUAACCCUAUCAACUAGAGGAAGCAGAAGUCGUAACA